CAAUAAUAAUACUAAUAAUAAAUUAAUUACAAAACGGUACAUGACAAAAUAAACAAAAAUCGAUUGUUUUUUUUUGUUAUAAGUUGUUCGUGUUACCAUUGGCGGCUAGUAACGUAUAACGACUAACAAGUAACAAGUGAACAACUGAGCAACUACAAACACCGAACGACCAUUCGAACGAGAACACAUAAGACAAACGUCAUCACUUGGCUUCUGUGGUAGCGGCGGUGAAUGAAGAGGUUGCGUUUGUACUUUGCCGCCAUAUUUAACAGCAGCAGAGCGCACUAUCUGCUCGCGCCGUUACACAGUGGUCGUGUUGUAUACCGUUCGUCGCCGAGCGUUACGUCAGCGCCGGUCGCAGUGCCGCCUCGCCGGAAGAACCAAAUUGUCUCACGACGCGGUGGAAUUCUUGCGACGACGUACCCCACUUCGGGGAAAUUCGCUGACGGCUGUCGCUACACGAUUUUGACCCACACCUCCUACCAUAACAUCCCCACCAACGUCGUUGCUGGUGGACGAAAACGCGGCCGGUUCGUCGUCGUCGUCCGCCGGUAACCAGUGCCGGCAACUGUACACGCCGAUUUCGCCUACACUGUAAAAAGUGGUGAUACGAACAUUUUUUUUUAACCUUUCAUUAUUUACGUGAACUUUUUCGCUUUACGUAUAUUUUUUCCUGAAAAUAAAAUGGUGUAUCUCGUUAGGCGUUAGUGAAUCGUGUUUUGAUUAUUAUUAUUAUUUUUUUUUUGUUUUCGUUUGCUUGUUCUCUAAGUAUCAUAUUCGCACUUUAUCCGCCGAGUCUUGCCGGCGUUCGGUGAAUCGCCUACGUUUCAAUUAGGUUUUUCCGAAACGGAUAAAACGAAACGCCCGUCCAUUGUUUGUGCAACCGCUCCAAGACGAGUCGUCUGUUUCAUCAACAAACGCUUAACAGUCUGAUGGAUAAUAUUUGUUUUUGCACUGAACAACGCCGGGAGAAUAAAGGAAUGCCACACAAGUGAUUGGCUUUUAUCAAUGUUGUGUUCCAUUAGGUACCUACGUUCAGUUUGUUUAGUAGAGUAUAUUUGCAGACUACCAUGUUUUGAAAAACCAUUUGUUUUCAGAAAAUGUACGGUUAUUGGUCAUUGAAGAACACAUAUUGCAAUGUUAUUCUGAACGUUUAUUUCAAUCGGAUUUUUACAAAUUGGAUAUUACAUACUAUAUUAGUCAGUGCAAUUAAUAAUAAUAAUAAUGUUUAAAACAAAAUAUUAUAACAUACUGAAGGGAAACAAAUGUUUCAGAGUAAAUGCCCUACUAUUCGCUCAAACUUCUGUGUGCGCUAAGACAGAGUACUAUAUGGCUACUUAUUAUAGGCUACUUCCUACUGGUGGAGGCAUUUAUUAAAGAUUAUAUCUAAACCGGACGAAGAAAGUUAAUAACCAAAUUCAGAAUUGGAAAUUAUCCAUAUAAAUUUUACAGGUAAAUUCAACAUUAUCUAUGUCUUAAUGUUAUAAUGUUAAAGUAAGCUCUUUAUUUUUACAAGUAUCAGGCUAUGGUACUAUGAUAUUAUUUAUAAAUUACAUUCUAUAUUUUCGUAUUAUUUUAUGUGUUUAAAAUGUGGUCUUGACUGAAAUUUCAACAUAUAUUUAUUUAUAUUUUGGUAUUUAUAUAAUUAGUUAUUAUUCUUGUAUAAAUUAUUCAAUUUAAAAAUAAUAUACCUAUUUAUUUUAUCAUUAUUAUAAUUAGUUAAAUAAUAUAAGACAUUAUUCCUAUAUCUAUGUGUUAGUACUUAGUUAUUUCUAAAAUAUCGUAAGAAAAAUAUUAAUACAAAUCAAGCAAUAAAUAAUUAACACUGGCAAAUUUUUGUUUUAGCUGAAUG
rnacentral:lncRNA from 1 species